ACUGCCGUUUUAAGGACCCACAAUGAGGGUGAACCGGUCGCUGGAGCAAGGAGAGAAAUCUCUCUCUCUCUCUCUCUCUCUCUCUCUCUCUCUCUCUCUCUCUCUCUCUCUCUCUCUCUCUCAGUCACAAAUGAGAAAUCCAAAGGGUUCCCUCUGCGUCUCGGUCUUUUUUAGAAGGAACCCAAAGCGUGCUACAUAAAUUCGCUAGGCGGGUGGAUAUUUUAUUUAAAGCGAGGAAUGCAUUCAAUGCAUAUGUUUCCCCAUUCUUAAGAAAGAAAAAUGUCGUUUAUGGGGAGGGGUUUGAGACCGAAGAGGCAGUCAUGCCCCCUGGAUCUUUAGCGCUGCAUCUCUGCAAUGGGGUGGGCUUGUGGAAAAGAGAGCAGAAGGGUGCGAGUCCGUCCCGGUGCGGCAGAAGAGGAGCUCUCCGCCAGCUAUCCAGAGACUGGGGCGGGGGAUGCUCCAUGCGCUUCCAAGGGAGGCAGUAUGUGAGAAGGAAGACGCUGCUAAUACAGAUGUGCCUUACCGACGUUUAUCUCUGGCCGAACAAGUGUGGAGGAGAUCACGGUGACCUGCUCGAUUUUUUUUAAUCAAUGAUCAUAUUUCUGGCAGAAUCUGGUGCAAUUCAGCCGGAAGUCCGAGUCGCCAAAAGACACCCACCUGAUGGCUGCGAGUUUCUUGGCCAACUGAUCGGGUUCGUCAUCACAAAAGAAGUUUUACAUCUAAUGCAACAACAGUGGCUGGAAAACAAUUGAAUUAUCUCUUUCUCUCUCCCCCCCCCCGUUUCCACAUGCAAGUUAACUUUGAUUUAAAGCAAUU